AGUUGAUCUCCCACCAACAAUAUGGCUGAAUUGGGGCUCUGUCUUAGUUACUUUCCUGUUACUUUGGUCACACACCCUGACCUCAGUCAACUUAUAGAAGGAAGAGUUUAUUAGGUUCCAGAAGGUGAGAGGCAAUGACUGUCAUGGUGGGAAACACGGCAGCAGGCAAGCGGGCAUGGCGCUGGAGCAGGAGCAUCUUGAUCUACAAGCAUGAAGCAAAGAAAAAGCUAACUGAGAAUGCUAUGGACUUUUGAAACUUCAGGGCCUGGCCCCAGUGACACAUUUCCUCCACCAAGGUCACAUCACACUUCCUAAUCUGUCCCAAGCAGUUUUACCAACUGGCACCCAUUGAAAUACAUAAGUCUACUGAAGCCAGUCUCACACUCAAAAUGCCAGAGGCUCUUUUCAUCUUUACUCUUCCCUACUUCUCUCCUCUCCUGUCUGCCUUCAGAGCUUUGACCCACAUCUAAGUUAUACUAUCUCCUAGUGUUUUAAACUUAAUUAUUACAGCUCCCUUCCAAAGACCAAGAGUGUGUCUAAUAGUAUCUUGAAAAGAAAGUUGCAAAGCUGCCAUCCCAGCCUCCAGAUGAAGAGGAAGCAGUUCCACCCCUCCCAAUGGCUUCAGUGGUUAUCCGUGGUACCCUUUCUCUCUCCCCACUCAUCCACAGGGAGGUCUACGACUCCAACUCCAAACUCAUCCAAUUCUUCCACUCUCUCAAGCCAAACCAUCGCCCUCUUUCUCUUGGACUCCCCAGCCUCCUUGCUCUCCUCUGCUUUCUUCUUAUUGUCCCCUAAGAGGCUUCCUGGGCAGCCAGAGGAAUUAAAUGUGAACAACUGCAUAGAAUAAUGGUGUCUCAAAACUUAAGUCCCAGCCUGCAUAUUGUGUUGAAUUAAAGUCACCAUCAAGUCAACAAGGCAAGGAAAACAGAGCCAUACAGACUGGAAAGGAAAUUCCAAGAAAGUAGUACAUACCUCUAAUACCAGUACACAGGAGGUGGACACAAGAAGAUUGUGAGUUUAAGGCCAGCCUGGGCUACAAGGCCCUACUGCACAAAAGAGAAAAGGAAUGAAGAGGAAGGAAAGAUUGGAAAGGAAGAAAUAAAGUUGUUGCUAGUCACCG
ensembl:lincRNA 1700039M15Rik RIKEN cDNA 1700039M15 gene